AAUUUAUGAUUUUAAAAUAUCUUGGUGCGGAACCCUAUGCAAUAAAGUCUGACAUCAACAAGGGAACUCAGGACUUCAGAAGAAACGUUGCUCGUGAAAAGAAGUUCCCACUGAUGGAGAAAGGCUGGUACAUUUCCAGCAACACCCAACAGUCUUAUAGUAAAGGCAGCGCAGAACCAAGUGCAACAGAACAGAGAACAGAAAACAGUCACCAGAGGUCCACUGGAGCUGGUGUGUGCAUACCAUGGCACAUCCGAGGAAGGUGAUCCUUGGAAGGGGAAGAAUUGGAGGACCUUGGACCCUACUUCCUUGUAGGCAGAGGUCAUGCAGAAAAAAAGUCACCCAUCAAAUACUUAAUUGGCAAAAUGCAGCAGAAGUGUAACUGGACAGAAAAUGAUAUGCUGAACUUCAGAGCAAGUCAGUACAUUAUGUAUGUGGAGUGCA